UACGGGGGGGGGCAAGCGUUGUUCGGAAUUACUGGGCGUAAAGGGCUCGUAGGUGGCCAACUAAGUCAGACGUGAAAUCCCUCGGCUUAACCGGGGAACUGCGUCUGAUACUGGAUGGCUUGAGUUUGGGAGAGGGAUGCGGAAUUCCAGGUGUAGCGGUGAAAUGCGUAGAUAUCUGGAGGAACACCGGUGGCGAAGGCGGCAUCCUGGACCAACAUUGACGCUGAGGAGCGAAAGCUAGGGGAGCAAACGGGG
rnacentral:rRNA from 1 species